rnacentral:snRNA from 1 species
GGAUGCACGACGCAAUUUCAUGCUACAAAAUUGGAACGAUAGAGAGAAGAUUAGCAUGGCCCCUGCGCAAGGAUGACACGCGAAAUCGUGAGGCGUUCCACAUUUCU